rnacentral:rRNA from 1 species
AACGAACGCUGGCGGCAUGCCUAACACAUGCAAGUCGAACGAGACCUUCGGGUCUAGUGGCGCACGGGUGCGUAACGCGUGGGAACCUGCCCUUAGGUUCGGAAUAACUCCCCGAAAGGGGUGCUAAUACCGGAUAAUGUCUUCGGACCAAAGAUUUAUCGCCUUGGGAUGGGCCCGCGUUGGAUUAGCUAGUUGGUAGGGUAAAAGCCUACCAAUGCGACGUUCCAGGGCUGGUCGGAGAGGAUGAUCAGCCACACUGGGACUGAGACACGGCCCAGACUGCUACGGGAGGCAGCAGUGGGGAAUAUUGGACGAUGGGCGAAAGCCUGAUCCAGCAAUGCCGCGUGAGUGAUGAAGGCCUUAGGGUUGUAAAGCUCUUUUACCCGGGAUGAUAAUGACAGUACCGGGAGAAUAAGCUCCGGCUAACUCCGUG